GAUGAAGAACGUAGCGAAAUGCGAUAAGUAAUGUGAAUUGCAGAAUUCAGUGAAUCAUCGAAUCUUUGAACGCACAUUGCGCCCGCCAGCAUUCUGGCGGGCAUGCCUGUUCGAGCGUCAUUUCAACCCUCAAGCUCUGCUUGGUGUUGGGGCCCUACGGUUGACGUAGGCCCUUAAAGGUAGUGGCGGACCCUCUCGGAGCCACCUUUGCGUAGUAACUAACGUCUCGCACUGGGAUUCGGAGGGACUCUUGCCGUAAAACCCCCAAAUUUUUAAAGGUUGACCUCGGAUCAGGUAGGAAUACCCGCUGAACUUAAGCAUAUCAAUAAGCGGAGGA
rnacentral:misc_RNA from 1 species